UUUGGCGACGUCCACAUUUUCGCUCUGCUGAUAGAGUUUGCCGACGGCUUCACUGAUGGCCGGAUGCCAGGUCACGGCRCGGUUAACCGCUUCAUUCAGCUGUAGCGUGCCGGGGGGCGGCUUUGCUGGCUACGGGCGCCACGMGGCCAUUUAAAGAGGGGAGUUCCUGCGUUUCGCUUAAUUGUCCGGUAUUAAUCAUCGCCGCAGGGUUUGCCGCGAUAGCGGGCACAGAUAUCAGGCAGCACGAGAGCCACCAGUAAGGCAUCUUCUUUCCCAUGUCUUGUCCCUAAUAAAAAGUACUGCUUUAUUGUUUAUGCCCGGGCGCUGUGCGCGCCCGGGUCAUUUUC
rnacentral:sRNA from 1 species